rnacentral:rRNA from 1 species
ACGGGAGGCAGCAGUGAGGAAUAUUGGUCAAUGGACGGAAGUCUGAACCAGCCAUGCCGCGUGAAGGAAGACGGCCCUAUGGGUUGUAAACUUCUUUUGGUCGGGAGCAAUAAGGGUCUUGCGAGGCCCGAUGAGAGUACCGGCCGAAUAAGCAUCGGCUAACUCCGUGCCAGCAGCCGCGGUAAUACGGAGGAUGCAAGCGUUAUCCGGAUUUAUUGGGUUUAAAGGGUGCGUAGGCGGACAGGUAAGUCAGUGGUGAAAUAUUCCGGCUCAACCGGGAGGCUGCCAUUGAUACUGCCUGACUAGAGUACAAACGGCGCCGGCGGAAUAUGUCAUGUAGCGGUGAAAUGCUUAGAGAUGACAUAGAACACCGAUCGCGAAGGCAGCUGGCGAGGAUGGCACUGACGCUCAUGCACGAAAGCGUGGGGAUCAAACAGGAUUAGAUACCCUGGUA